rnacentral:rRNA from 1 species
GACGAACGCUGGCGGCGUGCCUAAUACAUGCAAGUCGAACGCAGUGGGACCGGGUGAGUAACACGUGGGUAACCUCCCCAUCAGAGGGGAGAACACUUGGAAACAGGUGCUAAACCGAUACUGCUGGAUGGACCCGCGGUGCAUUAGCUAGGUGGUGAGGUAACGGCUCACCAAGGCCACGAUGCAUAGCAGACCUGAGAGGGUGAUGGGCCACACUGGGACUGUGACACGGCCCAGACUCCUACGGGAGGCAGCAGUAGGGUAUCUUCGCCAAUGGACGAAAGUCUGACAGAGCAACGCCGCGUGAGUGAAGAAGGUUUUCGGAUCGUAAACCUCUGGUGUUAGAGAAGCGGUAUCUAACUAGAAAGCCACGGCUAACUACGUGCCAGCAGCCGCGGUAAUAC